UUCAAUAUGGUACCCAAAUUUCUAAUGUGGGGGAAAAUCUUAUCAUCUGAUCAGUAAAAUAAACUUCAUAUACUUAUGCACCAGUGGAUUACUUAAAUAAUGUAGGGUGUGAUUUUGAAGGCUUAGCUGGUGCGCCUUUGUAAACGCGUGAUUCUAAACCCCACUUUUCUCGAAAGGAGCAGAAAGUCGUAUCUUGAUUUUGAGCCUUCCUGUGACUUCC
rnacentral:lncRNA from 1 species